rnacentral:rRNA from 1 species
GAUGAACGCUGGCAGCGUGCCUAAUACAUGCCAGUCGAGCGAACAGACGAGGAGCUUGCUCCUCUGACGUUAGCGGCGGACGGGUGAGUAACACGUGGAUAACCUACCUAUAAGACUGGGAUAACUUCGGGAAACCGGAGCUAAUACCGGAUAAUAUAUUGAACCGCAUGGUUCAAUAGUGAAAGACGGUUUUGCUGUCACUUAUAGAUGGAUCCGCGCCGCAUUAGCUAGUUGGUAAGGUAACGGCUUACCAAGGCAACGAUGCGUAGCCGACCUGAGAGGGUGAUCGGCCACACUGGAACUGAGACACGGUCCAGACUCCUACGGGAGGCAGCAGUAGGGAAUCUUCCGCAAUGGGCGAAAGCCUGACGGAGCAACGCCGCGUGAGUGAUGAAGGUCUUCGGAUCGUAAAACUCUGUUAUUAGGGAAGAACAAAUGUGUAAGUAACUAUGCACGUCUUGACGGUACCUAAUCAGAAAGCCACGGCUAACUACGUG